ACGACGGCAAUGAACGAUGACUAUUAUAACCGUAGAUGACCGUUGAUGACUCCAGGCAACAGAUGAUUUUCAAAAAAAAGUUCAAUUGUAAAAAAAUGAUAACACCAAUAGAGGAACUCACCUGACCACCAGCUGUCAAAACCUCAUAAUCUUUAAACAAGAGAGAGAGUAAAACAUUUGUUUUAAAAGAUGAAUAUCUGAAGCUUGGAAGCAUUGAAUAUAUUUACAUUUUGUCAAUAUAUAUGGUCUUUCAGCAGAGCUAGAUGUUGAACCAGAUAGCAAUACAAGUUAAAGCUAUGAUUUAUUUGAGGACUUGUGCUGAUGGAAAAACAAAUUUGUAGGACAAUUUGAUAAACCCUUUGACUGUAAAGUAUUUUGAAUAGGAAAUAGUGUCAUGCAGGAAUGCUCAGUUUUGUCAUUAGUGUGAUAUGCCAUUGGAAAUAAUAGCAAUAUAUGUAGUACUGUUCUAUCACAAUCUACUGCAGAUUGUCUUGUUAUCAGAAUAUCUUAAGAAAACAGGUAUAAUGAUGCUAUCUUUCGGGUCAGAUUCACUAAUGAUGACACAACCCAACGUGUACUGAAGCCUGGUUUUCACGUAAUUUUACUAACUUCAAAAACUGCUGGGGGGGGGGGGGGGGGGGGUAAAUGCUCCCUUCAAAAAUAAAUAAUGGAAGCUUGAUAGCAUUGAAAAUAAUUACCUACUUGAUAUAGAGUCUAUCUUUCAGCAGUAUCUGCUUUUGAUUAAGCUUUCUAAAAAGGCUUUUCUGAAUACUGUUGGGAUUUUAUGUACAUUUGACUUAUGUCUUAUAGUCCUUUGAACCAAGAUUAAAAAAAUAACAGGAAAUAGUGUCAUGCAGGAAUUCUAUUGUGAUUAUUAGGGGAAUAUAUCUAGUUCUAUCCAAUCAAAAAUUCACUUCAGAUUUGAAAUGGUAUCAGUUGAAAAGUUGUAUUUUGAGAACAGGUUAAUGAUGUUAUCUUUCGGGUCAGAUUCUCUAAUGAUGACACAACCCAACGUGUACUGAAGCCUGUUUGGACAUAUUUAACAAUUUGUAUGGAAUACAUUGCAAUAUUUGAAAAAAUUGAAAUGCUAACUUUUAAAAAUAUAAAUAAGUAGCUUAAAAAUAUUUACCUUUCCUUAAUCUAGAGUCUAUCUUUCAGCAGAAUCUGUUGUUAAGUAAUAUUUCUAAACAGGUUUAUGCGAGAACUUCUUCUGAAUACUAUCCGACAGCUAUCGUAUACAUUGACUUGUCAGUUUUUUUAGUCCUGAGAACUAGGAAUCAAAACUGAGAUAAAAAGGAUGUAAAUGAAAAAUGGUUUCAAAUUAAGAGAGAUAGAGACUGCAAAGUCUUAUUAACAGGAAAUUGUGACAUACUGGCAUGGUCAUGGGGGAUAAAUCUAGUACUGUCUUGUUAAAAUUUACCAUAGAUUUUAACUGUUAUUAGUAUAGUUUUUGUUAAGAGAACAGGUAUAAUGAUGCUAUCUUUCGGGUCAGAUUCACUAAUGAUGACACAACCCAACGUAAACUGAAGCCUGUUUUUGCAUGAUUUUACAAUUUGAAAAAUCGGAAAUGCUCACUUUAAAGAAAUAAACAUUAGAAGCUAGCAUUGUAAGUAAUAAACUUUACUUGAUCUAGAGUUUAUCUUUCAGCAGAAUCUGUUGUUGAGUAAGAUUUCUAAACAGAUUUAUGUGAGAACUUUUGAAUACUACCAAAUAUGUACAAUUGACUUAUCACUAUCUUAGUCCUGGGAACUAUGAAUUUAAUUAAUUGAGAUAACAAGGAUCUUGAGUUAUCCAUCCUUCAAAAUAUUUAAUAAAGAAAAAGAUUCAAAUGAAGUUUCGACUGCAAAGUAUUUCACAGGAAAAAGUGUUGUGCAGGAAUGUUCAUUAGGGGGGGGGUAUAUCUUGUGUUAUCCAAUCAAAAUUUACUUAGUAUUUGAAAUGUUAUCAGUUAGGUUGUAUUUUGAGAACAGGUUAAUGAUGCAAUCUUUCGGGUCAGAUUCACUAAUGAUGACACAACCCAACGUGUACUGAAGC